UACGGGGGGGGCAAGCGUUGUUCGGAAUUACUGGGCGUAAAGCGUGCGCAGGCGGCUAUGCAAGACAGAUGUGAAAUCCCCGGGCUCAACCUGGGAACUGCAUUUGUGACUGCAUGGCUAGAGUACGGUAGAGGGGGAUGGAAUUCCGCGUGUAGCAGUGAAAUGCGUAGAUAUGCGGAGGAACACCGAUGGCGAAGGCAAUCCCCUGGACCUGUACUGACGCUCAUGCACGAAAGCGUGGGGAGCAAACAGG
rnacentral:rRNA from 1 species